rnacentral:rRNA from 1 species
AGUUUUAAACGGCCGCGGUACUCUGACCGUGCAAAGGUAGCAUAAUCAUUUGCCUUAUAAUUGAAGGCUGGAAUGAAUGGUUUGACAAGAAUACAGCUGUCUCUUUUAGAUUGUUUAGAAUUUUAUCUUUGGAUGAAAAAGUCCAAAUGUUAUUAAAAGACAAGAAGACCCUAUCGAGCUUUAGAGAAAUUAAUAGAUUUAAUAUGAAUUAAUACAAGUAAAAGACAUAACUAUUAAAUACUUUGGUUGGGGCAACCGAGGAGCAGAUAAAGCCUCCUUUGUUUUAUAAGUCUUACUUGUGUUGAUCCAGAAUUUUUGAUCAAAGGAAUUAGUUACCGUAGGGAUAACAGCAUUAUCUUUUUUGAGAGCUCAUAUCGAAAAAAAGGUUUGUGACCUCGAUGUUGGACCAGAUUAUCCUAAAAAUGCAGAAGUCUUU